UUGUGCAAUUCUCUUUCUGAGGGCGCUGAAGUACAAUGAAGCAAAGCAGUGGGUCGGAGUUCUGAGCUGGCUUAAAGGGCACCACUGACAUGGCUAACAGGACAAACUCCUCUGAGUAUUUCUGGUCUUAUGAAUAUUACUGGGACUACAUAGAUCCAAUUCCAGUAGAUGGAAGCAAGUUGGAGGUUAAUAAAUACUCCAUCGUCAUUGCCUUUUGGGUCGGCCUUGCUGCAUUUGUGACCUUUCUUUUCCUUAUUUUACUGUGUAUGUCCUGCUCUGGAUCAACGCCAGCAAACACGACUACGAACGGGAGCGCAGGGUCAGACAGGAAUUCAUUAGGCAGUGACUGCAUUCGCGCUACUUAACGGGCCACGAGAGCACCUAGGAAAGCUCCGGGACAGAGCACUUGCCACCGGAAUGUGUUGGAAUCACAGUGCGAUCCCAGCUGUUUGAAGUUUGGGAAUGCUGUGGGACACGUUCAAGGUGUCAGUAAUGUUUUUUAAAAGAAAGCAACCAAGGCAUGGUGGAAGAAAAUAAAUAGUAUUGCCUACCUAC